UACAGAGGGUGCAAGCGUUGUUCGGAAUUAUUGGGCGUAAAGCGCGUGUAGGCGGCUUUGUAAGUCGAAUGUGAAAGCCCUCGGCUUAACCGAGGAAGUGCAUUCGAAACUGCGAGGCUAGAGUACGGUAGGGGUAGCGGGAAUUCCCAGUGUAGCGGUGAAAUGCGUAGAUAUUGGGAAGAACACCAGCGGCGAAAGCGCGCUACUGGGCUGUAACUGACACUGAGGGACGAAAGCCAGGGGAGCGAAUGGG
rnacentral:rRNA from 1 species